rnacentral:rRNA from 1 species
UACGUAGGGGGCAAGCGUUGUCCGGAUUCAUUGGGCGUAAAGAGCGUGUAGGCGGCCAGGUAGGUCGGUUGUGAAAACUGGAGGCUCAACCUUCAGAGGUCGACCGAAACCAUCUGGCUAGAGUCCGGGAGAGGAGAGUGGAAUUCCUGGUGUAGCGGUGAAAUGCGCAGAUAUCAGGAAGAACACCCGUGGCGAAAGCGGCUCUCUGGACGGUUUCUGACGCUAAGACGCGAAAGCGUGGGGAGCAAACAGG